GGCCCCAUCGUCUAGUCCGGUCCAGGACGUCAGGUUCUCAUCCUGAAAACCGGGGUUCGAAUCCCCGUGGGGUCG
rnacentral:tRNA from 1 species